AAAAAGGAGGAACAGUUGGCAAUUAAAGAAAAGUUGAAAGAAACUAAAAAAAUGCAUGAAGAAAGAAAAGCUCAAGCACUAACUCAACCAAAAAAAGAAGGUGGUUUAAAGGCACGUCUUCAAAAAUUGUCUAGUGUCAGGAAAUGAUUUGCUCAUUUUUAUUCCCAGUUGAAAUUUGUCACAUAAGCAUUUGGUUUAUACAUUCCUGUAGCUUUUAUAUACCGGUAUAGCCUAACGUAGUUACACUUCAAUUUUGUAAACAAGUUUUUUAUAAGAUGCAUGUGAAAGGCUGUGCAAUAUUGAAUUAUAAUAUUUAUGUUAUUACAUACAUUUUUAUAUAAAACGGCGCUGGCAACUUAUUUAGAAUAUGUUUAUUUUAGAAUAUUAAUUUUACAUAUGUUUAAAUAUUUUGAAGUCUUUGAUCUGAUGUUUAUAUGUAAUACAAAUAUACAUGUUGCCCCAUGAUGCUAUACUUAACAGGUUAUAUUGAAUUGGUUACAUAAGACAUGAUUAGAUGUUUUGAAAUUAUAUAAUACUCAAAAUGCUAUUCCUCUGCUAUUGAUACUAUGAGGGUACAAGUUAAAUGAAGCUAUUUUAUCAUUACUAUCGUGAAUUUUGCAGAAAUAACAGUUUGAUACAUAUGUGUAUAAAAAAAAUUAUUAAAAAUAAUCAAUUUUGAUUUGCUAGGGCAAUUUAGAAAAUUGAUACAUAACAUGUGAUAAUUUUGGUGUUCUAAAGUACACUAGAAUGCAGAUAGUAUUUGAUGCUUCUACAUGAGUAAAUGAACUUUUGUCAAAUAUUUUAUUCCACAAAUGUUAAAGCUUUAAUAUUUCAAAACAUAAAUAAAUAUAUCUUGUUAAAAAUAUAGUAAACUUCUAACAAUCAAAGGUUAAAAUUAACAAAUCAAUAAAUUUUUUAAUUCAAUGCAGUACAUGUAUUCAUGUCUUGAGCAGGAUGAUAAUAAUUACUAUAGGAGUAUAUUUAAAACACAGCUUGUGUAUUCUUUAAAGAUGUACCUGAUGUAUGAUUUCAAGCAUGUUACUUUUAUGUAUAUAAAUGGUGCUUAUGCAAACCUACAAAGUUUUGCAACAUGAUUGAUAAAUAAUACAUAUUAAAAUUA